GUUGCCCUGCAGCGGCGGUAGAGAAGAGGAGCAGGGCUGCGGCGGAGUGAGACGCUGGCAGCGUCGUCUCCUGGCAGCGGUGGUGGCUCGGGUGGGAGGUGGCGGUGGACUCUGGCCGGAAGUGGGGCAGAGUCGGUUGCUGCCUGGAGAGCAGCGACGGGCGACAGGUGGGCUAGCCGGAAGCAGGGGAAGCAGGGGUGCGUGGCUACGAGUGCGUGGCUGCGGUUGCUGCUUCUUCUUCUUUCUUUCUUUCUUUCUUUCUUUUUUUUUUUUUUUUUUUUUUUUUUUUGAUAGCUUCGUUGCAGCGAGAACGUCAAGGAUCGCUGCUCUGAUACCAAAUGAUAAGACCCUAAAGUCUUAUCGUAGACUCUGAUACCAAUUGAUAAGACCCUAAAGUCUUAUCGUCACUCUGAUACCAAAUGAUAAGACCCUAAAGGUCUUAUCGUCGCUCUGAUACCAAAUGAUAAGACCCUAAAGUCUUAUCGUCGCUCUGAUACCAAAUGAUAAGACCUUAAAGUCUUAUCGUGGAAGAAAUGGGAGAAAUAAGGAU
rnacentral:lncRNA from 1 species